UACAGUUUAUUUUCUUUCGAUUAGCGAGUUGUUGCAGUGCUAGAGUUUGGUAACGUUACCGUCUUUCAGUGUUAGGACAGACCAGGCUCGAUGUAUUCUCUGAGAGCAGACCAACAUAAUGCUAAUAAUUACAUUUAACGUUACUAUGCUCCUGAGGCUGAAUGUAACAGGGUUUUCCUGCGUUAUGAUUUUUUUCCCAGCCGAUAAGCAAGUGAUAUUGCAAGCGAGGUGCCGGAACAAAUCGUAUGAUGUUUAUCUAGGCUAACGCUCAACACUUUAAAAGCUAACGUUACGUUAACUUUCAGAGGUGGAGGUCUUGAGUUACGUUACUACACUCUAAAUAAAGAAAAUUAAGUUACAUGACAUUGACUUCGAGUCUUGAGAACGAAUAUUCUAAAGUCUCGAACCGCAUGCCUUGAUAAUGACUUGUUUUUUGGGGGUUUAAACAUUUUACCUGUUUUUAGUUUAUAAUUUUCCAGCUGGGCUGGUUGUGAUAAAAGGCAGUGUAACAGGACGUAAAGGCAGGGAGAUAUUCAGUAUUUUUCUGCAAAGAAAGUGCCAGCCAGUGAGGGAGAGUCCGCGUGAUGGUUUAACGUUACACACAGUGAGUUCAGAGCCUGCCUGCUCAACAGGAGACCUCUUGGUUCAGGAAGAUUUGAGCAUAAAUCAGAACAGCCCUGUACACCCAGCUGUCUCUAGGGAUGAAACAGAUGAGAGUGAAAGUGAUGUGAAAGAGAUGGAUACUUGUCACCCACCUUCAGAAGUGUAAUCUGAGCUUCCACUUACUUCUGAUACUGCUCUUACUGGACCUGAUGACAGAAGAAGAAUGGAGAAGUGAUCAUCUCUCCUUGGUUGAACGAAGUUGGAGAAAACCUUUUUCAAGUUAACCCUGUUAAAAUCUCUGACAAUAAAAGUCAUAACUGAUCCCUGUGUCCAAUUAUUUUAAGACAACAGAAGUAUUUUACAAAUAUUACUAAAGUACAGAAUGUGUUGUAGGCCGUUAUUGUGUCAUGACUCAGUCGAUGUGAAAAGAGGAAAUGAGAAACACAGGAAGAGUUACAAAUGUUCUCAUGAAGAAAUAUAAGUAGAUGAUGAGAAGAGACUCAGUAAGAGAAACACAACAUGACUGAGAAGAGUGAUAUAUGUCUGCUGGGACUGAUCCUUCUCUCUUCACUAUUCACAGGUAAACUAUACAACACAUUUAUUUCAUCACAUUUCA